GUUAGGAAUAUUGGACAAUGGGCGAAAGCCUGAUCCAGCCAUGCCGCGUGAAUGAUGAAGGUCUUAGGAUUGUAAAAUUCUUUCACCGGGGACGAUAAUGACGGUACCCGGAGAAGAAGCUCCGGCUAACUUCGUGCCAGCAGCCGCGGUAAUACGAAGGGGGCUAGCGUUGCUCGGAAUUACUGGGCGUAAAGGGCGCGUAGGCGGACAGCUUAGUCAGAGGUGAAAGCCCAGGGCUCAACCUUGGAAUUGCCUUUGAUACUGGCUGUCUUGAGUUUGGGAGAGGUGAGUGGAACUCCGAGUGUAGAGGUGAAAUUCGUAGAUAUUCGGAAGAACACCAGUGGCGAAGGCGACUCACUGGCCCAAUACUGACGCUGAGGCGCGAAAGCGUGGGGAGCAAACAGGAUUAGAAACCCUAGUAGUCC
rnacentral:rRNA from 1 species